rnacentral:rRNA from 1 species
UAAUACUCCAUAGAUUAGAGACACUGGAAUGUUCUUUAGUCGAAAGUUCUGGCGCCUUAGGAUGGAUCUGCGGUCGAUUAGGUUGUUGUUGGGGUAACGGCCCAACAAGCCUGUAAUCGAUACGGGUUGUGGGAGCAAGAGCCCGGAGAUGGAAUCUGAGACACGAUUCCAGGCCCUACGGGGCGCAGCAGGCGCGAAAACUUUACAAUGCAGGAAACUGUGAUAAGGGAACUCCGAGUGCCCGUAUACGCGGGCUGUCCAGGUGUUUAAAAAUCAUCUGAAGAAAGGGCCGGGCAAGACCGGUGCCAGCCGCCGCGGUAAUACCGGCGGCUCGAGUGGUGGCCACUAUUAUUGGGCUUAAAGCGUCCGUAGCUGGACCGAUAAGUCUCUUGGGAAAUCCGCCGGCUCAACCGGCGGGCGUCUAGGGGAUACUGUUAGUCUAGGGACCGGGAGAGGUGAGAGGUACUCCGGGGGUAGGAGUGAAAUCCUGUAAUCCCCGGGGGACCACCGAUGGCGAAGGCAUCUCACCAGAACGGCUCCGACAGUGAGGGACGAAAGCUGGGGGAGCGAACCGGAUUAGAUACCCGGGUAGUCCCAGCCGUAACUAUGCGCGUUAGGUGU